rnacentral:pre_miRNA from 1 species
AGGCCACAUGCUUCUUUAUAUCCCCAUAGGGUUCACUGUACUAUGGAAUGUAAGGAAGUGUGUGGUUUUGG